rnacentral:rRNA from 1 species
UGAGUUGCGAACGGGUGAGUAACGCGUAGGUAACCUGCCUGGUAGCGGGGGAUAACUAUUGGAAACGAUAGCUAAUACCGCAUAAUAGUAGAUGUUGCAUGACAUUUGCUUAAAAGGUGCAAUUGCAUCACUACCAGAUGGACCUGCGUUGUAUUAGCUAGUUGGUGGGGUAACGGCUCACCAAGGCGACGAUACAUAGCCGACCUGAGAGGGUGAUCGGCCACACUGGGACUGAGACACGGCCCAGACUCCUACGGGAGGCAGCAGUAGGGAAUCUUCGGCAAUGGACGGAAGUCUGACCGAGCAACGCCGCGUGAGUGAAGAAGGUUUUCGGAUCGUAAAGCUCUGUUGUAAGAGAAGAACGAGUGUGAGAGUGGAAAGUUCACACUGUGACGGUAUCUUACCAGAAAGGGACGGCUAACUACGUGCCAGCAGCCGCGGUAAUACGUAGGUCCCGAGCGUUGUCCGGAUUUAUUGGGCGUAAAGCGAGCGCAGGCGGUUAGAUAAGUCUGAAGUUAAAGGCUGUGGCUUAACCAUAGUACGCUUUGGAAACUGUUUAACUUGAGUGCAAGAGGGGAGAGUGGAAUUCCAUGUGUAGCGGUGAAAUGCGUAGAUAUAUGGAGGAACACCGGUGGCGAAAGCGGCUCUCUGGCUUGUAAC